UUUCUUCCUUCUUGUGUGCCUUCCUUUUUUCCUUCCAUUUUUCCUUCCUUUCAUAUGUGCAGUACUAGGCACCAAACCCAAGCCCGUGUUUAUGCUGGGUCAGGUCUCUGAGUUAUCCCCUUGUCCACCAAGUUUUUUUCUGGUUAGAAUGUAUUACAAGAAAUACAUCUCAGUCCCUUACCUCCUGCGAUUGUUUACUGUGUUGCUAACUAACGUAGGAUUUUCUUACCCCGUUGCGGAACGUUUACACUAUCUUGCCGCUUCUCAUUUUCUCCCUUCUGUUGUGCCUACCACAAGCUAGCACACUUUAUAAUUUAUAUAUAAAUAAUUGCAUAUAUAUAAUUUCAUGUUAUCUAUCCCGGUUUCUUGAGUAGAGUACAUUUCCAGUCAGGCAGCACUCUUUUCGCGUACUUUCUAUUUCCUGAUUUGUCCAGAUCCCUGUGACACAGCCGGCCACCCAGGAAGUGUCCAUGUGUAUCUGCUGGAGGAGAGAAUAAACAGCCAGCUCAGUGCCCUCUCUGUGCUCCCUUCAGGAAUCUCCUUUACCCGGCUUUCUGUCACCUCUUUCCAAGGAGGCAUUGGGCUCUCACGUGCAAUCCACAAAGGCUCGGCUGUGUGUGGAGACAUGGCCAGGGCACCAGCCCCAGAAGGACGCCUAGGCCAAGGGCCAGGGACACGUCCAUGCCGGCGGUUGGAGGGGGCCACAGGUAAAAAGAUAACUAUGUAAAGAGAUGAAUAUAUUAGGUGAAUACAACAGCUUGAAUAUGGCAAUCAUUUAACAGUACUACCAUAGGUAAGAACACCAUGUUGGACUCCUGCACUGUUGACAAUGGACAGAGUCGGGAUGAUGCCCUUGUAAGAGACACCAGAGAGAUCCCUCAGUCUUUCCACCACACAUGGACACAGCAAAAAUACAGCUCACAAUGGUCACCUGUAGAGUCAGGUGUAGAGGAGUGCAAAAGGGCUGCCUGCACGCUGGAGAGCAGCAUAAUCCAUUCGACGAUGGAAGACCUGGAAUGGAGCUCACUGCAGAGCUCCACUGGCAGCCAAAGGGUCUAUGCUGGAAUGCUGAAGUCUGAGCUGGAAGCUGAGAGACAGACAUCCCAAGGUGAUGGCAAAGACUAGUGCUCCUCCAAAGAAGCUGAAGUGAGACGUUCUUCUUCUUCCCCCCUUUUAUUCCAUUUAGGCUAGAAGCUUAUUGCCUGGUGUCACUCAAAUAUAAAUAAAGAGUAAAAUACAUGAUAGGUAACAGGAAAUAGGAAAUAGAUCUUUUGCAAAAGAAAUGGGGCCUAGGGAUGGAGGAAGGGGAGAGGGAGGAAUGGGAAGAAAGGGGAUGAAGAGAGAAUUAAGAUGUGUUAUAGACAUGUACCAACUCCUUAUGAAGAAUGUCCUCAUGGUGAACUGCAACCAUACACUAAAAAAAAUUAAAAUUUAAAAAGAAAGAAAAUAUACCACAACAAUUUUAUAUUUUGAAAGUCAGGCAUCUCCUAAAGAGUUCUAUUUCCAUUUGAAUAUUUCAUAAAACUGGUUACUUUUCAUUAUCUUUUUGUUUCCAUUAAGUUUACCAUUUCUGAUUUGUCUUCAUGCCUUUUAUUGAACUGUUCUUCAGAGCUCUUUCCAUAUUAUACAAAUGACCACUUUGGCCUUCAACUGGAACUCAUCUAGCAUUUUUGAUCUUUGCUUUAGCUUUACUAUGGUCAGUAAUGUCUUAUUUUCUUAUUUUGCCAUCCAAUGUGAUGUGGAUGAUUAGCUGUGCAAAGGCACAUUACAGAUAAAUGCAGUAUGCGAUCUUGGUUUAGAUCUUGGACUGCAUUCUUUUUUAUUCUGUGAACAGCAUUCUAGGGAUUAUGGGCAGAAUGUCAAUGGUGUAUUGAUGGGUAGAGCUGAGAUAAUAUUGUUGCGUGGGUGUUAUGUCCUGGUUUUGAGCACUGAGCUAAAGUGAUAUAAUUCUAUUCAUCUUAUGAAAUGUGCACUAAAGUCUUAAGCAUGACAUAUAUGACUUAAAUAAUGCACAAAAUUUUCUAUAAAUAUUUGUGGAGUAUAGAUUCAAGUGCAUGGGAACAAUUUGUACUCUUUUGCAAUUUUUUUAUAUGCUUGAAAUUCUGUCAAAGUAUGGCACUUCAAAAAUGCAAAAUUUUUCAAACUGAAAACAAUAAUUGCCACUUUUAUUCCUAUGGAAACAUUGCCACAGCUUACAGGGAAGCUUUUAUUCAAUAUUUCAGUGAAAAAUAUUGUCACCUGAAAACUUCGCACACAUUCUACAAAUCAUUAAGGCACACAGCAGAGGCUAACAGGAAAACAUUCCAUAGGUCAUUCAACAAAAACAAAUAUUUUAGAUGGACAAAAAAUCAUGAUUCUUCAUGAUUCUCCUGGAGCAUGCACAUUAAAAGAGAAUGAGAUACAUUUGUCCAACACAAAUUUUCCACUAAGUAAAAAUGUUGACAUUACCAAGAGUUAAUACAAAGCAGUGGAGAUCUUUAGAUUUUAAAGUAUAAAUAGUGAUCAUUUCUAUAACACCUUGCUACUAUCUUGGGAAAGACAUGCCUUAUGCCAGCACUUCCAAUACAAAACCUGUGUGCACCAGAGUCCGUGACAGCAGAGGACAGAGCAGGUUCACUGGGCACAGCUAUAUUCAGGAAGUCACACAUCGCCUGUUCAUACAUAUUGCUGGAUAAAUUCAGUGGAGUUCUCUACUGUGUGUACAUGAAUGAAAUAGGGCUAUGCACGGUGCAGGAAUGAACCUUUGGGAAAAUGUAAAAAAAAAAAAGUGGAGGCACGAAAUCGCUAUCUCAUUUCAGUCACUGUGCCUGAGUGCUGGUGUUCUUCAGAGUGUGAUAUUUCCCAGGAUGUUAGGGGCUAGGAAGGGGCCUUGGGCUGGCCCACAUCCACACACAUCCAUGCAACUGACUUCACUUACUUAGCGUUUGACCCCUGUGCAGCCUGUGCCCUCCCCGUGAUAUUUCAUGCACUCCAGGGGCUCAUAGGAAAGUUCUCCCAAUUGUUUCUUUGGAUGUGCUUAUGUAAUUGUAGUUGUUUUCGUAGGCAGGCAAAGAAGCAACGUUGUUUGAAAGUUAUUCUCAAUCCCGCAUGUGGAUUCUCUCAGGCAUCUAGAGUUGAAAAUUACAGGUGCAUUGGGUACGAGGACCAAGGAAUAAUGAGCCUACGAGUCCGGGUCCAGCGUCUCUUCCCACACUCAACCUCUCUGUGCCGCUCACCAUCUGGCAUCGCAGAGCACAGAGGUGAGCUUCUAUUCCUCUCACACCACGAUACAGUCGAUCAGAGACUGGAGACCUAGCUGAGGAGAAGGGACACCAUUGCUAUGUUUGGAAGUGAGACCCUGGAAAGCCUUUGAUACCAAGUGGGCGCCAUUUCCUGUUAGGGGCAGAGUAGACUGUGCCCACCCUACUUCACACUAUUCCAUGAGCUACCAGAGGUUCUCCUCGAUAUCAGCCCUUCUUAAGCCUGGAUUCUCCUAUGUUUAUUCCAUCUUUAUCCUGUUUUUUUUCUCCCAUCUCUCAAUAUAUAGAUUAGGGACAAAGUAAAUAUUUUGGAUGAACAAAAUCAAAAGGAAGUUAUCCUAUUCCAUCACUGUUGAAAAUGCAAAUUAAGAGAAUGAGAUGAAUUUACACAACCCAAUCCAGGAAUAAUUACCAAUUCUGAGAUUAUUAAGCGUUAAUGAGGAUAUAGAUCAAAGGCAGCCCACACACAUUGCUGCUGAAAGUAUAAAUUGAGUAAUCAUUUUAGAAAGUUGGUUUUUCUUGGGUAAAACGUAUCUCAACACAAAGCAAUUCUGUUUUUAUAGUUAUAACCUCAAAUGCAUGCAUAUGAGUUCAAGGAUCCAUUUACAAGAAAGGUCAGGGCAGCUUCCUUCAUUCUAGCCAAAUAGGAGACCAUCCAUUAACGAUUUAUGAAGAUUGCUUUAUGAGCAGUCAAUGGAAUUAUGUAGUACCUGGAAAUGAAUGAAGUAUAGCAACACACAAAAUAUAAAUUAAUAUUUUAGAAAAUGAAGCUUAAAAGAAGAGAGAUACCCAAGAACCAGGGCACCUCCCUCAUUCAUGUCACUUAAUACUCAUGUUUUUCAGACUUGUGGAAUCUCUCAAGACAUUAACUGUUAAGGAAAGUUGCUGAGGCUGGCCCAAAUUCUGUCUGCCCCAAAUGCUUUCUCUUUGUCUUUCUUAGCAUGGAACUUCUGUGCCUUUUGCACCCCACCCUGUGUUAUCCCGUGCUCUCCAAGGGCUCAUAGAAAACUUAGGGUUAAGUUUUCUCAUCCCAAUUCUUCCCAAUUGUUUCUUUGGAAUUAUUCAUGCAAUUGUAAUUAAUAGUUUUUACUGGCAUGUAAUUGUGGCAAAUCUAUUUAAAAGUUACUCUCCAUCCCUUGUGUAGAUAGAUACUGUCAUGGAUCGAGGGUUGAGUUGAAAAUCACAGUAGCUCUGGGAAAAAGGACCAAGAAAUAACACACCUAUACGUCAGGGCUCAAUGUGUCUUCCAAGUCACAGGGCAGACAUGAAAUUCCACUGGGGCCUUGGCAUCAUGUUAUCACAGAGCACACAGGACAGUCAAUUUUACUUUCUUGGCAAGACACAGGACAUUAGAGACUGGAGGGAUGAGGGGGUAGAGGAAAGUGACUUGGAUCCUAAAUUUAGAGAUAAUACUGUGAAAAGACCAAACAAAAGAGGCAUCAUUUCCUCUCAGGUACAGAAUGGAUCUGUCCGCCUCAUCCUGUGCAAACACAGCAGCUUCUUUAUAUAAUCACUUUUAAAGACUGAAUUCUUAUUUAUUUCUUCCCCAUACUCUUCCUCCUUUUGUGGUUUGUAAUUCACUGGUCUUAAAUUCAUUUGCACAAAUAAAACAUUUGUACAGGUAUUUCUAAAAACUUUGAAUAAUGAAAUAAAAGUUUCCAGCAGAAUAUAUGUAUUAGAACAGUUUGAUUUCUUCCUAUUAUAUACUUGAGACUACUUUUAGGCCCUAUUUCCAUCCUCCUGCUUUAGAAGAUUUCAGGGAGAAAAGUAGUUGCUAAUUACCUAGCACCUCACAAUUGGGAUCCUGGGAGUAGUUAUUGACUGAAAUACAGUCAUCCUGGUGCAUGCUGAACAUAUGGAUCUUUCCCUCAUAUGAGCCCUGGACUCUAGAACAAAGCUAAGCAAGUGUCCUACUGACAAUCAGA